UACGAAGGGGGCUAGCGUUGCUCGGAAUUACUGGGCGUAAAGCGCACGUAGGCGGCUUUCUAAGUCGGGGGUGAAAUCCUGGAGCUCAACUCCAGAACUGCCUUCGAUACUGGAGAGCUUGAGUCCGGGAGAGGUGAGUGGAACUGCGAGUGUAGAGGUGAAAUUCGUAGAUAUUCGCAAGAACACCAGUGGUGAAGGCGGCUCACUGGCCCGGUACUGACGCUGAGGUGCGAAAGCGUAGGGAGCAAACAGG
rnacentral:rRNA from 1 species